GGAUCCUGAGUACGACGGAGCACGUGAAAUUCCGUCGGAAUCUGGGAGGACCAUCUCCUAAGGCUAAAUACUCUCUAGUGACCGAUAGUGAACCAGUACCGUGAGGGAAAGGUGAAAAGCACCCCGGAAGGGGAGUGAAAUAGAACCUGAAACCGUGUGCUUACAAGUAGUCAGAGCCCGUUAAUGGGUGAUGGCGUGCCUUUUGUAGAAUGAACCGGCGAGUUACGAUUUGAUGCAAGGUUAAGCAGUAAAUGUGGAGCCGUAGCGAAAGCGAGUCUGAAUAGGGCGUUUAGUAUUUGGUCGUAGACCCGAAACCAGGUGAUCUACCCUUGGUCAGGUUGAAGUUCAGGUAACACUGAAUGGAGGACCGAACCGACUUACGUUGAAAAGUGAGCGGAUGAACUGAGGGUAGCGGAGAAAUUCCAAUCGAACCUGGAGAUAGCUGGUUCUCUCCGAAAUAGCUUUAGGGCUAGCCUCAAGUGAUGAUUAUUGGAGGUAGAGCACUGUUUGGACGAGGGGCCCCUCUCGGGUUACCGAAUUCAGACAAACUCCGAAUGCCAAUUAAUUUAACUUGGGAGUCAGAACAUGGGUGAUAAGGUCCGUGUUCGAAAGGGAAACAGCCCAGACCACCAGCUAAGGUCCCAAAAUAUAUGUUAAGUGGAAAAGGAUGUGGCGUUGCCCAGACAACUAGGAUGUUGGCUUAGAAGCAGCCAUCAUUUAAAGAGUGCGUAAUAGCUCACUAGUCGAGUGACACUGCGCCGAAAAUGUACCGGGGCUAAACAUAUUACCGAAGCUGUGGAUUGUCCUUUGGACAAUGGUAGGAGAGCGUUCUAAGGGCGUUGAAGCAUGAUCGUAAGGACAUGUGGAGCGCUUAGAAGUGAGAAUGCCGGUGUGAGUAGCGAAAGACGGGUGAGAAUCCCGUCCACCGAUUGACUAAGGUUUCCAGAGGAAGGCUCGUCCGCUCUGGGUUAGUCGGGUCCUAAGCUGAGGCCGACAGGCGUAGGCGAUGGAUAACAGGUUGAUAUUCCUGUACCACCUAUA
rnacentral:rRNA from 1 species